UGCACUUGAAUCAUAGUGGCGGACGGGUGAGUAACGCGUAAGAACCUACCCUUAGGAGGGGGACAACAGUUGGAAACGACUGCUAAUACCCCAUAGGCUGAGGAGUUAAACAACCUUUUCAAGGGUUGGCCUAAGGAGGGGCUUGCGUCUGAUUAGCUUGUUGGUGAGGUAAAUGCUUACCAAGGCGACGAUCAGUAGCUGGUUUGAGAGGAUGAUCAGCCACACUGGGACUGAGACACGGCCCAGACUCC
rnacentral:rRNA from 1 species